rnacentral:rRNA from 1 species
UUUCAGUGGGGGAUAACGUAGCGAAAGUUACGCUAAUACCGCAUAUUCUGUGAGUAGGAAAGCAGGGGAUCGCAAGACCUUGCGCUGAUUGAGCGGCCGAUAUCAGAUUAGCUAGUUGGUGAGGUAAAGGCUCACCAAGGCGACGAUCUGUAGCGGGUCUGAGAGGAUGAUCCGCCACACUGGAACUGAGACACGGUCCAGACUCCUACGGGAGGCAGCAGUGGGGAAUUUUGGACAAUGGGCGCAAGCCUGAUCCAGCCAUGCCGCGUGAGUGAAGAAGGCCUUCGGGUUGUAAAGCUCUUUCAGCCGGGAAGAAAACGUAUGGGUUAAUACCCUGUGUGGAUGACGGUACCGGAAUAAGAAGCACCGGCUAACUACGUGCCAGCAGCCGCGGUAAUACGUAGGGUGCGAGCGUUAAUCGGAAUUACUGGGCGUAAAGCGUGCGCAGGCGGUUUUGUAAGAUAGGCGUGAAAUCCCCGGGCUCAACCUGGGAACUGCGUUUAUGACUGCAAGGCUAGAGUAUGGCAGAGGGGGGUGGAAUUCCACGUGUAGCAGUGAAAUGCGUAGAGAUGUGGAGGAACACCGAUGGCGAAGGCAGCCCCCUGGGCCAAUACUGACGCUCAUGCACGAAAGCGUGGGUAGCAAACAGGAUUAGAUACCCUGGUAGUCCACGCCCUAAACGAUGUCAACUAGGUGUUGGGAGGGUAAAACCUUUUAGUACCGGAGCUAACGCGUGAAGUUGACCGCCAGGGGAGUACGGCCGCAAGGUUAAAACUCAAAGGAAUUGACGGGGACCCGCACAAGCGGUGGAUGAUGUGGAUUAAUUCGAUGCAACGCGAAAAACCUUACCUACCCUUGACAUGUCCGGAAGCCCUUAGAGAUUUGGGUGUGCUCGAAAGAGAGCCGGAACACAGGUGCUGCAUGGCUGUCGUCAGCUCGUGUCGUGAGAUGUUGGGUUAAGUCCCGCAACGAGCGCAACCCUUGUCGUUAAUUGCCAUCAUUUAGUUGGGCACUUUAACGAGACUGCCGGUGACAAACCGGAGGAAGGUGGGGAUGACGUCAAGUCCUCAUGGCCCUUAUGGGUAGGGCUUCACACGUCAUACAAUGGUCGGUACAAAGGGUUGCCAACCCGCGAGGGGGAGCUAAUCCCAGAAAGCCGAUCGUAGUCCGGAUCGUAGGCUGCAACUCGCCUGCGUGAAGUCGGAAUCGCUAGUAAUCGUGGAUCAGCAUGUCACGGUGAAUACGUUCCCGGGUCUUGUACACACCGCCCGUCACACCAUGGGAGCGGGUUCCGCCAGAAGUAGGUAGCCUAACCGCAAGGAGGGCGCUUACCACGGCGGGGUUCGUGACUGGGGUGAAGUCGGAACAAGGUA